rnacentral:lncRNA from 1 species
GGCUUGCGCCGCGGGCCGUAUCGACCGGGACGGCCGCUAUGCUGGGACCUUCCUUCCCUUCCUGGCUCUCUGCUCCCAGUUCACGAUGAUGGAUGGAGACAUGGGAGCCCUUAGCCUGGGCUUUGGGUUCUCCGUUGCAUGUUCCGGCUGGUCUGUUUGAGCCUGACCCUGUCUGAUCUCAGCACACACAGGGCAGAGUGGAGGCUGCCUCAGGGGUUCUGGAUUGCUUCUCUUUUCCAAGGAGGCUGCUCCUAAUAACCUCUCUCUCGGUGCCCUUGUCCCUGCAGCCAUGGGGACACGGCGGUGCAGGUGGAGUCCAUGGUCAGGAGAGCGCUGCAGGCCUCCAACACCAGCUACGUGCUCCUGCAGAGCCUGCUGGAGGACAGCGUGACGCUGGAGACGCAGCACGAGCUGGAGGCCAGGUACAAGGAAAUCCAGCGGGCGCAGGAGGAGCUGGGCGCUGGCAUGCUGGAGGUGGCAGCGGAGGCCAAGAGAGCUUUCACAGCCGUCCACCAGGCAAACGCGGACAUGGCCAAGAAACUGCUGCCAGCAGCUGCUCUGGGCCAGCAGGCGCUGCUGGCACGGGCUGAGACCCUGAUGCAGGACCUGGCGGCGUUGGAGCAGGCAGCAAAGGCCAGGGAGCCGUCGGCCC